rnacentral:rRNA from 1 species
GGUGAACGCUGGCGGCGGGCCUAAUACAUGCAGGUCGAGCGAACAGACAAGGAGCUUGCGCCCCUGACGUUAGCGGCGGACGGGUGAGUAACACGUGGAUCACCUUCCUCUAUGUCGUGGAUGACUUCGUGAAACCGGUGCUACUACCGGCGAAUAUAUCCUACCGCUUGGUUCAAUAGUGAUAGACGGCUUUCGUGUUUCUUAUAGCUGAGGUCGCAUUAGCUAGUUGGCUUGGUAAGGGCCCACCAAGGCGACGAUGCGUAGCUGGUCUGAGAGGAUGAUCGGCCACACUGGAACUGAGACACGGUCCAGACUCCUACGGGAGGCAGCAGUAGGGAAUCUUCCGCAAUGGGCGAAAGCCUGACGGAGCAACGCCGCGUGGGUGAUGAAGGUCUUCGGAUCGUAAAGCUCUGUUAUUAGGGAAGAACAAAUGUGUAAGUAACUAUGCACGUCUUGACGGUACCUAAUCAGAAAGCCACGGCUAACUACGUG